rnacentral:ncRNA from 4 species
AGUGGCUCAUUCACCGACUUAUGUCAGCCCCUUCGGGACGUGCUACAUAAAAUUCGAAUGACGCACAACAAGGUGCCUGCCGUCCAACUUCUGAUAUCAGCGUAGCUAUAUCAACCAUCGGGCGAAACGUCGAGUUAGGCACCGCCUU